GAUGAACGCUGGCGGCGUGCCUAAUACAUGCAAGUCGAGCGAACAGACGCGGAGCUUGCUCCUCUGACGUUAGCGGCGGACGGGUGAGUAACACGUGGAUAACCUACCUAUAAGACUGGGAUAACUUCGGGAAACCGGAGCUUAUACCGGAUAAUAUAUUGAACCGCAUGGUUCAAUAGUGAAAGACGGUUUUGCUGUCACUUAUAGAUGGAUCCGCGCCGCAUUAGCUAGUUGGUAAGGUAACGGCUUACCAAGGCAACGAUGCGUAGCCGACCUGAGAGGGUGAUCGGCCGCACGGGAACUGAGACACGGUCCAGACUCCUACGGGAGGCAGCAGUAGGGAAUCUUCCGCAAUGGGCGAAAGCCUGACGGAGCGACGCCGCGUGAGUGAUGAAGGUCUUCGGAUCGUAAAACUCUGUUAUUAGUGAAGAACAAAUGUGUAAGUAACUAUGCACGUCUUGACGGUACCUAAUCAGAAAGCCACGGCUAACUACGUG
rnacentral:rRNA from 1 species